CAGCCUGUGGCCAAUCGCAACGCCGGAAGGAGCUGAUAGACACGGAGGUUGCUCUGCUCGGAAGAGACCGAGCCCCAGGGCCGCCGUGCCCUCUGGGCGGUUGUGAGGCUGUGCAGCCUGCGGCUUCUGCCCUCUUUCUUUCCCUGACUGGUUGGGUCCGGCCUCCGAGGCCUGUACCCCGCCUUUUCCGCAUAGGCAUGUGACCAGGGUCUCCCGCGGAGUUUUGCUGAGAAUUUUGGAAAUGAAGCAUGUGGAGCGCCUAUGUCGGGGGAGAGAGGCCGAGCUGAAGGAGCACGGGCGCCGGCCUCGGCCUCUGGGGAGCCGGGCCCGCUCGCCUCCCUGCGCGGGGCUAGCCCGAGCCUGGAACUCGGGAGGCCCAGGAGCGAAGUGAAAGCCCCUUCUGGUCCCCCAGGGCUCCACUCCCGCAGCAGCCCGGCUCCGUCGGCGUCAGUGGAGCCCCAGGCCUGGGUCCGAGAUGAGCGAGACGCUGCUCUGGCUCGCGGUCGCCCGAGCGCUCCCAAAACCAGGGAACAGGCCCCAGGAGAGAAGCCCCUAGAAGUUUCCUGGAGCAGGGAGUCUCCUGUAUCCUGUUAGCUCUGCAAAGGAAUCUGGACUUUAUUCUGAGGGCCUUGGAGAACCCCUGCAAAGUUUUUUAAAAGGUGGACUAAGAGAUUGGCAUUUCACAACAUGACUCUCCGAAUUGAAACACUAAGAAGAUUGGCGAAAUUUAACAUUUACAGAUUAGUAAUUUAACCCAGGUGACUCGCGAUGAGGGACAUGGCUACCCUUCACUUUUGGAGGGAGUUUUAAGUGAUACAGAUCUUUUUGCCAAGCAAUUUUUUUUUUUUUUUUGAGACGGAGCGUCGUUCUGUCGCCCUGGCUGGAGUGGAAUGCCGUGAUCUCGGCUCACUGCAACCUCCGCCUUCCUGAGUUCAAGCGAUUCUCCUGCCUCAGCCUCCCUAGUAGCUGGGAUUACAGGCGCGCGCCACCAGGAUCUGCUAAUUUUUUUGUAUUUUUAGUAGAGACGGGGUUUCACCAUGUUGGCCAGGCUGGUCUCGAACUCCUGACCUCAGGUGAUCCACCUGCCUCGACCUCGCAAAGUGCUGAGAUUAACAGGCGUGAGCCACCGCGCCCAGCAGCAAUUUAAAAAUCUAAUAAAAUUGUGCAUAUCCCCC
rnacentral:lncRNA from 1 species